rnacentral:rRNA from 1 species
GACGAAGGGGGGCUAGCGUUGUUCGGAAUUACUGGGCGUAAAGCGCGUGUAGGCGGUUGUCCAAGUUGGAUGUGAAAGCCUUGAGCUCAACUCAAGAAAUGCAUUCAGGACUGGAUGACUAGAGGACCGGAGAGGAUAGUGGAAUUCCCAGUGUAGUGGUGAAAUACGUAGAGAUUGGGAAGAACACCAGUGGCGAAGGCGGCUAUCUGGACGGUUUCUGACGCUAAGACGCGAAAGCGUGGGGAGCAAACAGG